rnacentral:rRNA from 1 species
GCAUCUAAGCGCGAAGCCAACUUCAAGAUAAGAUUUCCCACCGCAAGGGUAAGACCCCAGAAAGACUAUCUGGUUGAUAGGUCGAAGGUGUAAGUGCAGCAAUGUAUUUAGCUUAUCGAUACUAAUAGGUCGAGGACUUGACCAAUAUUUAUUUGAUGUUCAUUCACU